GAUGAACGCUGGCGGCGUGCCUAAUACAUGCAAGUCGAGCGAACGGACGAGAAGCUUGCUUCUCUGAUGUUAGCGGCGGACGGGUGAGUAACACGUGGAUAACCUACCUAUAAGACUGGGAUAACUUCGGGAAACCGGAGCUAAUACCGGAUAAUAUUUUGAACCGCAUGGUUCAAAAGUAAAAGACGGUCUUGCUGUCACUUAUAGAUGGAUCCGCGCUGCAUUAGCUAGUUGGUAAGGUAACGGCUUACCAAGGCAACGAUGCAUAGCCGACCUGAGAGGGUGAUCGGCCACACUGGAACUGAGACACGGUCCAGACUCCUACGGGAGGCAGCAGUAGGGAAUCUUCCGCAAUGGGCGAAAGCCUGACGGAGCAACGCCGUGUGAGUGAUGAAGGUCUUCGGAUCGUAAAACUCUGUUAUUAGGGAAGAACAUAUGUGUAAGUAACUGUGCACAUCUUGACGGUACCUAAUCAGAAAGCCACGGCUAACUACGUG
rnacentral:rRNA from 1 species